UACAGAGGGUGCAAGCGUUGUUCGGAAUUAUUGGGCGUAAAGGGCGCGUAGGCGGUGCGGUAAGUCACCUGUGAAACCUCUAGGCUUAACCUAGAGCCUGCAGGCGAAACUGCCGUGCUGGAGUGUGGGAGAGGUGCGUGGAAUUCCCGGUGUAGCGGUGAAAUGCGUAGAUAUUGGGAGGAACACCGGUGGCGAAGGCGGCCCCCUGGACCGGUACUG
rnacentral:rRNA from 1 species